CUCAUGUUAUCAAUGGCUACACACCACAGAAAUUCGGCAGGACAAGGCAAAAAGAAAGUUCAGGUUUCUUUUGUAAUCCGAGAUGAGGUUGAAAGACAUCACAGAUCUGGGAUUAACUCCCUUCAGUUUGACCCACUUAUUAACAGACUAUACUCUGCUGGGAGAGACUCCAUUAUCAGAAUUUUUAACACAAAGACAAAUAAGGAUCCAUACAUGUUAUCAAUGGAACACCAUACAGACUGGGUGAAUGAUAUUGUCCUCUGCUGUGGUGGGAGAACACUAAUUUCUGCAUCAAGUGACACAACAGUCAAAGUAUGGAAUGCUCACAAAGGUUUCUGUAUGUCAACAUUACGUACUCACAAGGAUUAUGUUAAGGCACUAGCGUAUGCCAGAGAUAAAGAACAAGUAGCCUCAGCAGGAUUAGAUCGAGCCAUUUUCCUGUGGGAUGUUAACACACUGACAGCACUCACUGCUUCAAAUAAUACAGUUACUACAUCAAGUCUGAAUGGAAAUAAGGAUUCUAUCUACAGCUUAGCAAUGAACCCUCCCGGUUCUGUCAUAGUUUCAGGGUCUACAGAAAAGGUGUUGAGGGUCUGGGACCCCAGGACGUGUCAGAAACUGAUGAAAUUAAAGGGCCAUGCUGAUAAUGUAAAGGCAUUGGUCCUGAAUAGAGAUGGUACACAGUGUUUGUCUGGCAGUUCUGAUGGAACAAUACGAUUAUGGUCACUAGGACAACAGAGAUGUGUAUCUACGUUCAGAGUACAUGACGAGGGUGUUUGGACCUUACAGGCAAACGAUUCAUUUUCUGUGGUGUAUUCUGCUGGACGUGACCGUAGAGUGUGGGCAACUGACAUCAGAAAUCCAGAAUAUAGAACUCUUAUUUGUGAAGAGAAGGCACCAGUCUUAAGGCUUGAAUUAUCCAAUGUAGAACAACCAUCAUUAUGGGUAGCAACAACAGACUCUUGUAUCAAAAACUGGCCUUUACAGAAAGUGUCCAAGCGGAUGUCUGGUGGUUACGACAACGAUACAGUUUCACCUAUUUAUACACAACCAGAUUUUACCAUCAAAGGUGGGUCCAGCAUUAGACAGUAUUAUGUAUUGAAUGACAAGAGACACAUUCUGACCAAAGAUACUGACGAUCAUGUGGCAUUGUGGGACGUCUUAACGGCCAGGAAAGUUGAAGAUUUGGGAAAGGUAGAUUUUGAAGAUGAAAUAAAGAAAAGAUUUAAGAUGGUUUAUGUACCAAACUGGUUUACUGUAGAUCUGAAAACAGGGUUAUUAACUAUACACUUGGAUGAAUCAGACUGUUUUGCAGCCUGGAUGUCAGCCAAAGAACUUGGUCUAGUUGCUGCUAAUGAAAGUACCGACACUAAAUUAAAUAUUGGGCAGCAGCUGCUUCAGGCAUUACUGGAACACUGGCCUAAAACACAUAUAUUUGAAGGUCAAGAUAAUAUAAAUGGUAUGAUGACAGACAGUGGUGCAGGUGACGCCUGUCAACCUUACUUCUGUGUUCCUGGUCAUACACCUGUCAUAUUCUGUGAGGUUGGAGGCAGAGCUCUAUUCAGACUAUUAGCCAGAGAUGCUGGAGGAGACACAGAACAAAUGUUACUGAAUGAGACAGUACCUUCCUGGGUUGUGGAUGUUGUUGUUCAUAGAAAUACACCAAAAUCCAAUAAGAUACCAUUCUUCUUACAACCUCAUCCAUGUACUGGUAUUAAAACAAUCAAAAAAGACAGAUUGUCAGCUAGUGAUAUGAUACAGGUUAGAAAGGUCAUAGAGCAUGUGUAUGAGAAAGUUCUUGGUCAGGGUUCAGAAACUGGGUCACAGUCAGGAGGGAAUGGUGGAGGAGAGAAGACAGAGAAAGAGAAAUCAUCAGAUUCUGCAAUGACAGAAGAGAAAGUAGAAUUAUUGUGCAAUGAACAGGUAUGGCAAUGACAGAAGAGAAAGUAGAAUUAUUGUGCAAUGAACAGGUAUGGCAAUGACAGAAGAGAAAGUAGAAUUAUUGUGCAAUGAACAGGUAUGGCAAUGACAGAAGAGAAAGUAGAAUUAUUGUGCAAUGAACAGGUAUGGCAAUGACAGAAGAGAAAGUAGAAUUAUUGUGCAAUGAACAGGUCUUGGAUGCCAACAUGGACUUAAGGACUGUCAAACAUUUUAUCUGGAAACAGAGUGGUGAUCUGACGUUACAUUAUAGACCCAUAUCUAAUAAAUGAACACCAAAGAUUAAAUGUAUAGUAAAAUGAAUUAAGUUUGAAAUUCACAAAAAGGGAGAUCUUAUCAGUGUUACAUAUAUAUAUAUAUGAAAGACCUGUGUGAUAUUCACUGAGAUUGAAGUUGGAGGACUGAUAUUGUUAAACCCUUAUUUCUGAUGUAGAAAUCUCAUACAGAAGAUCUUUGUGGUAUUCACUGAGGUUAAAGUUGGAGGACUGAUAUUGUUAAACCCUUAGUUCUGAUGUAGAAAUCUCAUGCAGAAGAUCUUUAAAGAAAUGUUUGUGCAAUAGAACUGCUUUGUUGUCUGACCAGGAAAUUGUGUGGAUGUUAGACAUUGCAGCUUGACAGCACACAUUGUAUAUUUACUAUAAGUCUGAUAUUGAAAGUUAUUUAUUUAAUGUAUGUAACUUUUUCAUGGAUUUAAAGUAUCUAGUUAGAAGUGGAUAAUGCACCAAAAUGGUCAAGUUGACAUUAUAGCUUUGGAGAGAGCUGUUUAGAGGGACCUCUUAAUGUAUCUUAGUGAAAAUUAUUACGGGAAAUCUUUUAUUAUUUGUUACAUCUAUCUAUCAAUUAUCUAUUAACCCUAUGGACUGUGUAAGAAAUCAUUAACAAAUUGAGUAAGAGGCACAAAUUUAACCCCUCCCUUAAACUCACAUAAAAUUAUUCUCUUUAAAAUCAUCUGAUCAUUGUUUUGAAAGAUUCAUGCUGCUUGUCAUUUUUGAAGUUGUUUAAAUCUGGACAUUUCUGUAUUUUGGUAAGUUUGAAGCAUACUUUGAACAAUGUAGAAUUGUUCUUUAAUUUCUUUCGUCUUAUCAAUUCAAAUUGAUUUUUAUAUAACCGCAAAAAAUUUUUGGGUCGUAUAUUGCUAUCACGUCAUCGUUGUCCGAAAUUUGGUUUCCGGACAAUAACUUCAGUUUAAGUGUAAAAAGUUGGGGUUUAGACCAUUUCCUCCAUUUUUACCAAGGUAUCUGAAAACAGAUUUACUACAGUGUAUUGCACAACAGCAAGAAAUCGUCAAUUGAAUAUAAAUUCAAAUCAUGUAACCAAUUUCAAGUUCUUUGACUACAUUUAUUCUGUGUCAGAAACCUAUAAUGUGUCAAAUAUUUAAUUACAAUCUAAAUUCAGACCUGUAUCAAGCUUGAAUAUUGUGUCCAUUAUUGCCCCAACUGUUCCGGGUUGGACCUCUGCAGUCGUAUCCAACUGCGCUCGGCGAAGCAGUUUAUUGUUUUUGGGGCAACAACUUCAGACUGAAUCUUAGAAUUGAUAUUUUUUAUAUAUUAAUGACUGUGACUGGCCAGGUUUAGAUUUAAUUGUUCUAUCAAAUUCUGGCUUCCCCUAUUUGAAAAACACCCUAAAUUAAAUUUUUAUUUUUUAAUAAUAAAAAUAAUGAAGUAAGUAUGCUACAUAAACUUCUCCCUCUUUUGUCUAAACUGUUUUGUAUAAAAUUUCCAAAAAUCUGUUACAUUUUAUGUUAGUUUUCAGUCAAGAUAGUGUAGUGUGAGUAAUUCAAAGAGAGACGUUAUAAUCAGAUUCUAGUGCUAUAAAGUCGAAAAUAGUUGUGAUGGGUUUAAUUUUGCUAAUUUUCAAUUCAGAUAACAUCUUGGAAAAUAAGAACUGAUACAUUUUAUCUGGAAACUUUGUUCAUGUAACUUAACAUUAACUUAUAAAUAAACUAGAAAGAUUAUAGAUAACUUGAUAAUAAAUUUAGUCAGCAAAACAGAAGAUCCUAUAGAUGAGAUAUAUAUAAUAUAUACAUGAAAGACCUUUGUUAUAUUCACUGAGGUUCAAGUAUGAGGACUGAUGUUGCAAUUCAGAUUAUUUCAUUGAACAUAUCCCCUCACUUUAUGUUGAUUGUUUAGGAAGAUCAAAAGAGAGGACAAGAAAGUCUAAGAAGACUUAUACCUAGAAAACUCAGCAAAAAUUAUCCAUUUUACAGUAUGAUUAAUGAUAUAAUUUACAUAGAGACUGAAGGCAUUAGUUUGUUGUUUAUAUUUGUUUAUUUUGUUAUAAAUAAAUUAUUUAUUUUAAUUACA